rnacentral:snRNA from 1 species
CGGUGAUAAGCUUCGCCGAGC